rnacentral:sRNA from 1 species
GCUGGGCGCGGUGGCGCACGCCUGUAGUCCUAGCUACUUGGGAGGCUGAGGCAGGAGGAUCGCUUGAGUCCAGGAGUUCUGGGCUGCAGUGCGCUAUGCCGAUUGGGUGUCCGCACUAAGUUCGGCAUCAAUAUGGUGGCCUCCCGGGAGCGGGGGACCACCAGGUUGCCUAAGGAGGGGUGAACCGGCCCAGGUCGGAAACUAUUGCAAGAGGUUUCUUUGUUCUAUUUCAUAUUAUUAUAUGAAGUCAUCAGCCUUUUUCCCUCACCUUUAUCUCCUUUGUUCACCCUCCUACCUCC